CUACUUACUAUUGCCUUUAGCUUUAUUACCCAGGGCCUCGGGCUACUGUAGAUAGUAUCAAACAAAUCUUCUGAAGAAAGAAAAAUAUUGUCAUUUCCUCCACCAAUUGGUUGUAUGCAUUUUUAAGGUCGGAGAUGUAAUUUUUGUGUCCUCAACUAGAAGCUAGUGGAAAUAUUUUGUAGUCUAUCCAAUCAUUCAGCCACUUAGCUUGUGAUCUCUGUCUCAAAAACUCCUCCAUGUCCCCCAGAGAGUCAAUAGAUCUCUUGUGAGAUCCAAUAUCAGCCAUAAAAUCAGCAUAGUAUAGGUAAUUAUUUAAUAUUGCCGUCUAUGUUUAUAUCUUUUCAGUUUUCUUCUCUAGAAACCAAAAUUCAUUUCGUUCUAGACUAACAGUGCCCUGCAACAAGUGAUGGAAAAGCAUCUGUCAUAUUUUUGCGAUUAAUUUCGCUUCAAUGCUGACGUGGAAAGUUAAAAAAAAAAGCUGAGAAAGCCAAUUUUCUUGCUACUACGCAAAUAAUCUCCACUUUCGAUCGCUUCGUCGACUGUUAGACAAUACUUCCUUCCUCCCUGUUGGUAAGAGACCACCGAAUACAUCAAUCACAUAGGUAAGAGAAAGAGAAGGAAACAACGAUGUGCGUUUUGAGUUUUGUGAUAUUAUUUUGUUAUUAACACAAUAAUUUCUUGUUUCAUCAUAUGAUAAAGACAAAAUAGGAUUUUUUGAUCUUUUAUCAACUUUAGUGUGUGCUAAAAAUAAUUUGACAGUGCUGAGCUUGUCGCCUGAGAGUUUGGGGUUUAUUGUGUACGAAGAAAAAAAAGUUGGGCUUUAAGCUUCUCCAAUCUUCUUUCAGUUUCAUGAAUAGGGAAAAAAAUUAGUUUCGAAAACAUAGUUUGAUAAUGCUGGGCUCAUUCAAUUAUGCUUGAGUUUUACUGUAUGCGAAAAAAUAAUUUCUAACUUAUGCAUCUUCAUUUUUCUUUCCGUUUUAGAUGUAAGGAAAAUCUUAGUUUUGAAAUGCAGAGCUUCAAUUUAAACCUUCAAACGAGGUAUAUUUACAAUUUCCUGUUUUGCUGGAUCAAAGAAAAUGCUAUAGUGGUGCUUUCAAUUAUAAGCAGCUUUCCAUUGGACAACGAAGAGAAUGGAUGAUUUCCUGUUUUGCUAGAUCAUAUGGUUGAAUUGAAGUAGUACUGUAUGUUAAUUUGUGAGAAUGAUAUGUUUACAUGUUGAUGUGGUUGUUUAAUGUGGUUGAAUAAGACUAAGUCGAUGGAAAGCAAAAAUAAGGGAAUAUGUCAUUGUUGUAGAUAAAGGGGACAUAUGUUGCCAGAAUGCUCGAGAAAGAGAAGCUAUCCAAAUUGUGGUUUGGGAUUCAUCAAAUGGAUGGAGGUCGAAAAGAACAAUGAUCAUAAAUGGCUAUUGUUCCAUUGUUGUACUCGCGAUUGUAGGUACUUCAAGUGGUGUAACAAAUUCCUUGACAAAAAGUGUCCAUUGCAUGAUGAUGGUAAAUCAAGUGCAUCAGAAAUGGAGGCGAACACGUGGAUGAUUAGCCACAAAUGUUAAAAACGCUUGCUAAGCUAACUGACGAAAAAGACUUGAAGAUCUGGCUUAGAAUAAAUAUGCACAAAGGAAAACAAGUUUUGGAGAAUGAAAUCUAAAUAUGUUGUGUAUUUGGAUGGUUUAGGAUGGUGUAUCGGAAAAAGACUUUCGAAUUGUUGUCGUCGAAAGUGCUUAUGUACGAUAUGUUGGUACUUUCAUAUGUAAUCAGAUUUUCUCAAAAAUUGUAUUGAUGUUUAACUAGCUUUUCAAGGUGUGACUUGCUUCUCAAGGUGUGCCAAGAGUCCCUUUGUACUUAUAGUUACUGUCUAUGAGAAUGGUCACCACUUACGUUGUGAUUUGAAAAGAAUGUUUAGUUGUAGUUUCACUGCAUUUAUGUUGGCAAGGCACACUUUAUUUGGCUAGUGAUUUUUUUGUUUUCAAUUUUAGAAGUAUGUUCGAUUUUUA